rnacentral:lncRNA from 1 species
CUAAGUCUCAGGGCAGAAUAGAGAGCCUACAAACUAUGCCCCAAAGGCCACACUUGACCCACCCUCAGGGCCAGGUCUCAUACAACCCAAGCUGAUUGGAACUCAUUAUAUCCAUGCUGGUCAGUUUUUGUCAACUUGACUCAAACUAGAGUCCUCUUGGGAAGAAGGAGCCUCAACUGAAGAAUUGCCUCCAUCAGAUUGGCCUGUGGGCCAACUGUGAGGCGUGGGUGCCCUGAGCAGGUGGUCCUGGAUUGUGGAAGAAAUCAAGUAGAGUAAGCCGUGGAUAGCAAGCCAGGACAAGGAAACUGAGGCACAGCGAGGCCAAGCUACUGAGUGACUGAACUGCAGCUUCCAAGCAAGCAACCCCGUCCUCAACUUUGUUCCAAGUCACACUCAGCUGUAUAAUAGUGGGACUCUCAGCUCCAGCACCAUGUCUGCCUGCCCGACACCAUGCUCCCUGUCAUGAUGAUAACGGACUGAACACCUGAAACUGUAAA